CUGAAACUCGCCUCUUUGAAGUCGGAAUCGCUAGUAAUCGCAGAUCAGCAUGUUGCGGUGAAUACGUUCCCGGGUCUUGUACACACCGCCCGUCAAACCAUGAGAGUCGCCAACACCCGAAGUCCACCUAGUGGCCUAAGGUGGGGGAGAUGAUUGGGGUUAAGUCGUAACAAGGUAAC
rnacentral:rRNA from 1 species